UACGUAGGUGGCAAGCGUUAUCCGGAUUUAUUGGGUUUAAAGGGAGCGUAGGCGGGUUGUUAAGUCAGUUGUGAAAGUUUGCGGCUCAACCGUAAAAUUGCAGUUGAUACUGGCAUCCUUGAGUACAGUAGAGGUAGGCGGAAUUCGUGGUGUAGCGGUGAAAUGCUUAGAUAUCACGAAGAACUCCGAUUGCGAAGGCAGCCUGCUGGACUGUAACUGACGCUGAUGCUCGAAAGCGUGGGGAGCAAACAGG
rnacentral:rRNA from 1 species